rnacentral:rRNA from 1 species
GACGAACGCUGGCGGCGUGCUUAACACAUGCAAGUCGAACGGAAAGGCCCUGCUUUUGUGGGGUGCUCGAGUGGCGAACGGGUGAGUAACACGUGAGUAAACUGCCCUUGACUUUGGGAUAACUUCAGGAAACUGGGGCUAAUACCGGAUAGGAGCUCCUGCUGCGUGGUGGGGGUUGGAGAGUUUCGGCGGUUGGGGAUGGACUCGCGGCUUAUCAGCUUGUUGGUGGGGUAGUGGCUUACCAAGGUUUUGACGGAUAGCCGGCCUGAGAGGGUGACCGGCCACAUUGGGACUGAGAGACGGCCCAGACUCCUAUGGGAGGCAGCAGUGGGGAAUAUUGCACAAUGGGCGGAAGCCUGAUGCAGCAACGCCGCGUGCGGGAUGACGGCCUUCGGGUUGUAAACCGCUUUCGCCUGUGACGAAGCGUGAGUGACGGUAAUGGGUAAAGAAGCACCGGCUAACUACGUG